rnacentral:rRNA from 1 species
UACGUAGGGGGCAAGCGUUGUCCGGAUUCAUUGGGCGUAAAGAGCGUGUAGGCGGCCAGGUAGGUCGGUUGUGAAAACUGGAGGCUCAACCUUCAGAGGUCGACCGAAACCAUCUGGCUAGAGUCCGGGAGAGGAGAGUGGAAUUCCUGGUGUAGCGGUGAAAUGCGCAGAUAUCAGGAAGAACACCCGUGGCGAAAGCGUCUCUCUGGAACGGUACUGACGCUGAGACGCGAAAGCGUGGGGAGCGAACAGG